rnacentral:rRNA from 1 species
GAAUAUUGGACAAUGGGCGAAAGCCUGAUCCAGCCAUGCCGCGUGUGUGAAGCAGGUCUUCGGAUGGUAAAGCACUUUAAGUUGGGAGGAAGGGCAGUAAGCGACUACCUUGCUGUUUUGACGUUACCGACUGAAUAAGCACCGGCUAACUUUUUUCCAGCAGCCGCGGUAAUACCGAGGGUGCAAGCGUUAAACGGAAAUACUGGGCGUAAAGCGCGCGUAGGUGGUUCGUUAAGUUGGAUGUGAAAUCCCCGGGCUCAACCUGGGAACUGCAUCCAAAACUGGCGAGCUAGAGUAGGGCAGAGGGUGGUGGAAUUUCCUGUGUAGCGGUGAAAUGCGUAGAUAUAGGAAGGAACACCAGUGGCGAAGGCGACCACCUGGGCUCAUACUGACACUGAGGUGCGAAAGCGUGGGGAACAAACA